ACAAAAGGAAGAAACCUUUUCCUCUUGGUACUUGUAGCCAUGUUCUGUCUCCUCAUGCUGAGAGUGGGAAUGACCCUGAUGUCAGUCCCACCCCUCCCACAGCUGCUUUCAGUGCAGAGUCACGGGCUGCAUGGGAACGUCAAAAAUACCUCACUGGGAACUGCUCCUUACCUUCCACCUGCCUCUGGCUGGGAAGCUCGGACACAAAGGACAAACCUUACAUCAAACCCAGCUUCUGACCUGGCAAAUGCCAGCAGGACCCAGAUCAGUGAAGGGCUGGGCCAAGGCUCAUUUUAGAGAAUGUUUCUGACCUCAGAGGUGAUGUAUUUUCAGCCCCAAACCAGCUGACUACAGAAAUUCUUUCAAACUGAUUUGGUGUUCAUGAUUCAGUAGUUGUCUGAGCAACACAGCACAGGGAAAGUCUGCAACGGUGCAAUCCAAAGGCGCUCUUCUAUCGCGGGGUUCUUGCUUUGCUUUCCUGCUGCAGCCAUGUAUUUCUGUUCCCAGAUAAUAGAGACCCUAGGCAAUGUUUAAUGGGGAAACAAUGCUGGAGGCUACCUGUAACCAUGAAAUAAACCCAAGUCUAACUCUG